ensembl:snRNA U6 U6 spliceosomal RNA
GUGCUCACUUUGGCAGCACAUAUACUAAGAUUGGAAUGAUACAGAGAAGAUUAGCAUGGCCCCUGCACAAGGAUGACACUCAAAUUCGUGAAGCGUUCCAUAUAAAA